rnacentral:lncRNA from 1 species
GGUUCUGGGAAAUAAGAAAUCAUUAGAAAAAGAUUUCUGCCUUCUAGAAGUACACAGUCUAAUGGUGAGAUAGGCAGUUAUUAAUGGCUCUCCUACUAGGAGCCUGACAUCAUGGUGAGCAUCGAGAAAGGAAUAACCUAAGCUGAAGACACGCCUUUUCAGGAGGCCAAGUUCCACGUUCUGUGCAUGCUUUUGGCGAAAGUCAGGUGCCGAGACAUGAACUUUGGUCUUCUCUGCAAUCCAUCUGGAGCAUUCACUGACAACAUCGACUUUGAAGUUGCACUGACCUGGCCAGCCCUGCCACUUACCAGGUUGGCUCUGUAUGGCUAAGCGUUUUCUCCUAAAAUCCCUUGAAAACUGUGAGAAGACCAUAAGAAGAUCAUAUCUUUAAUUCUAUUUCACAAGUCACACAAUAUUCCAAUCAAAUACAGAUGGUUGAGAAAAGUCAUCCAUCUUCCCUCCCCACCCUCCCACAGCCCCUCAACCACUGCCCUGAAACUUAUAUGCUGUUAUCCGCAGCUCCAUCUGGAGCAUCACAGCUACUGUCAACCCUGACGCUCUUUCUGAAAAAACACCGGAUGGACAUCAGAACUAUUUCUUUAAGGAUGUUACUGAGCCACACAGGAAAACUUGCCUUAUGAUUUUGAAUGCACGGAUCUGAUUUGACUAAACAUGAUAACUAGAGAAUCACCCAAUCUACUCCCAUUUUCAACUCUAAAUCAUCAGAGUGUCUCAAAUCCAAAGCACACACAGACCAGCCUGGCCAACACGGUGAAACUCCACCCCUACUAAAAGUAUAAAAAUUAUCCAGGUGUGGUGGCGGGCGCCUGUAAUCCAAGCUACUUGGGAGUCUGGAGGCAGGAGAAUCCCUUGAACCUGGGAGAUGGAGGUUGCAGUGAGCAGAGAUCACACCACCGCACUCUAGCCUGGGCCACAAAUCAACAACAACAACAACAACAAAAAACAAAGCGCACACAGAGACUGAGGUCCUCUUUGGCAUUGAGAAGAUGGCUAUGCAAGUCCCAACUAGCAAGUGCAAACUUCCCAGCUUCACUUCUGCCAGUGUCCCUUCACCCCUUCUCAACCCCACUGGGAGGCAGGAGGGUGCUUGACAAUAACAGCCUUGGCAUCACUCUGCCAGGGUGUAAUAGGAACUGUUACAAUUCUGAGAUUCUGUAAGUGCUUUGAGAUUUUGGAGUCAGACUGCUUGAACUUGAAUCCUGGCCCUCUCAUCAGAGACUUGACUUAUUUUAGGCAAGUUAUAUAACCAAUUUUACCUCAGUUCCUUACCCAUAAAAUGGGUCUAAUGAGAGUACCUACCACACAGAAUUUUGAUGAAAACUGAAUGAGAUGAAGGCCUUUAAGGCAGUGGUCCCCAACCCUGGGGACACAGACAGGUACCAUUUUGUGGCCUGUUAGGAACUGGGCCACACAGCAGGAGGUGAGCAGUGGGUGAGUGAGAUCAGCGUUAUUUACAGCUGCUCCCCAUUGCUCACCUUACUGCCUGAGCUCCACCUCCUGUCAGAUCAGCAGUGGCAUUAAAUUCUCAUAGCAGCACAAACCCUGUCAUGAACUGCACAUGCGAGGGAUCUAGGUUGUGCGCUCCUUAUGAGAAUCUAAUGCCUAAUGACCUGUCACCGUCUCCCAUCACCCCUAGAUGGGAGUGUCUAGUUGCAGGAAACAAGCUCAGGGCUUCCACUGAUUCUACAUUAUGGUGAGUUGUAUAAUUAUUUCAUUAUAUAAUACAAUGUAAUAAUAAUAGAAACACAGUGCACAACAAAUGUAAUGUGCUUGAAUCAUCCCCAAACCAUCCCAGUCCACGGUCUUCCACAUUUUGUCUUUUCACAAAAUUGUCUUCCACAAAACUGGUCCCUGGUGCCAAAAAGGCUUGGGACCACUGCUUUAAAGCCUUUGCAUAGUGCUUAGAAUUGAGGGGGAAAAAAAAAACAAAAACAAUGUAGCUAGUUGCUACAAUCACUAUAUUGGUGAGUUUCAAAAGGAAAAGAAUUCUGUCCCAUUUAUGCUUGAGCCUUGAGUUGCUAACCAAGCCUGACACAAAAUUACUGUUGAAGGGAUGUGUGAGUCCUAAUUGAAAUGAGGCCUCUUAAGGGAAUUGUGGACCAAACCCCAAGCAGGCAGAAAGCCGUAUCUUAAUUAUUGCAAGUAUUUCAGGCAAGGUGUGGAUGGCCAUUUGAAUUCAAGCAGACUAGGACCUGGGAUGAGAAAGAAGGUGUGUACGUGACUUGAUCUUUGAACUUUAGCUCACCAUCUGGAAGAAGGCUGAGUAUUCUCUGCACUCACAUAGUAGCUAAUGCCUACUCCCCAGCCACCCACAAUUCUUUCUGUAGGAAGGCUCGCUAGAAUACUUUGUGAUAUUGGAUAUUAGUUCCAUAUUCUACUGUGUAUCUUAGUUCAACCAAAUUGUAAUCAUCUGAUAUUUAUUUCUUUUAAUAUAAAUAUAAGUAUAUUAAGUCUUGGCAUGCUUGCUCAGUCUCUCUCUCUCUCCCAUUCCUCCCCGCUCCCCUCUCUCUUUCCCAACAGGCUUGGAAAGCAGGCAUCACCAUGCCUAUUUAACAGUUGGGGUCCCUUGGCCACCAGGUGCUGGAGUAGGAAUCUGAGCCCGGACAUGCCUGAUCUGUAAAUUUUGUGUUUUCCCCACUGUGCUGGGCAGAUCACAGCUAUCAGCGCCAAAUUCAUAGAAGGGGCGCCCCCUGUGGUCAAUUGAGGGAUUUGUGUUUGAGGUAGAUCUCAAGAAGGAAUGGGUGGGGAACUUAGCCUAGGACAGAGCAGAAAGGAGCCCUCACUCCCCAAGCACCAACGGCCUCAGUCCUUCCUGCUGACUCCAGCCUCUAGCUCUCACCCAGACUAUCUGCAUCCUUCUCUCCACCACGCUCCUUUGGAACCUGCGUAAAACACAGAUUAAAGGAAUUCCGCCUUACUUCCCUUUCCGCAUUAUGACCAAAUGGUUUUACACUAUCAUUGAACAGUUUAGUACAAAACAUGCCACCUUUUAAUCUAUUCAUUCAUUUAACAAAUACUUUGGAGUGUUUACCAUGUGCCAAGUGCUGUUCUAAUAGACAUAAGCUGUGAGGUUAUGCUUAUCUGAUUCUCACAGCAACAGCUUUCGAGAUAUGAAUUGGUAUACUCAUUUGACAGAUGAGGAAAUUGAAUUCAUGUAGUGAGAAAGGAAGAGCUGCAAUUCAGGGUUACUGGUUUCUCCUGCACUAAGCACUGAGCCACACUAGAAGAGAAGGCAUGAGGAAGACAAAAGUGAGAAGGCACUCAGGAAAUAUUAGUUGCAUGAACGAAGGCUGCAUUUUCAUUAGAACAACAUGCAGUUCAACCCCUUCAUGUUUCAAUGAGGGUUCAGAUACCCAGAGGGCUAUGCUAUCAUCCUGGAGCCCACUCUGCUAACAAUUAGCAGAACGGAAGCCUUAAUUUCCAGAUUCUAGUGAACUUGAUGAGUCAAGACUAUUGCAAUUGGAAAUCUGUUCUCCUCUGCUGCUGCAUUCCCUGCUUAAUACUCAAGCCAGAAACCAGGAAGGUAUGUGCCACAAAGUAAAGUGGGAUUCAGGACAAUUAUCCAUCAAGACUUUGUUACAGAUAUCCAAAGCAGGCAAUUCAAGACCCAGCUUGACUUUACUGUCUCCAUUGUGGUGGUUAAUGGAGACAAAUUCAAUUCAAAUAUGUGCACGUGGAUUUCUUUGUUUCUCUGAGGUUUGACUUAUCUGCCAAAAGAGAGAAACACAGAAAGAGGGGAGAAACAGGAGAGGGGAAAGAGAGAGGAGAGAGAAACCAAGGAAAUGUGACAUAUAAUAAUUUUUUAAAGAAUAUUUUUUCAUUUUUUUAUUGAGGUAUAAAAUACAUGUAGUAAGGUAUGUCAAUAACUCAAAUCUUAUGUGAUUUUUUUAUGUACAUGUAUACCUGUGUACACCUGUGUAACCACUACCUAAGUCAAGAUAGAGAACAUUUUAAUCAUCUUAAAAGAUUUCCUGUGUCUCUUCCCACCAAUACCUGCUGAUGAGCCCACUCUCCUUACAGCUAUCAGCAGAGUUGUUUUACCUGUCCUUGAACUUAAUAUAAAUGUAAUUAUACUGUAUAUGCUCUUUUGUGUCUGAUUUCUUUCACCCAACGUACUUGUUGGUUUAGUCCAUGUUGUGUAUAUCAGCAGUUUGUUUUUGUUAAGUAGCAGUGUUCCAUUGUAUAAAUGGACCAUAUUUUAUCCUUCAUGUUAAUGAACAUUUGAAUUGUUUUCAUGUUCUUGUUAUGAAUCAACAUGGUUAUGAAUAGUUUGGUUAUGAAGAGUUUUACACAUGUUUUUAGUCUAUUUUGUUUCUCUUAAAUAUAUACUUAGUCACGGGAUUACUGGUCAUAUAGUAUAGGCAGGCAGAUGUUCAGCUUUAAUUGACACAACCAACUGUUUUUGAAAGGGGUUGAGGCAAUUCACACACAAUAAAUAACAAUAUAUAAAAGUUCCAA